rnacentral:rRNA from 1 species
UACAGAGGGUGCAAGCGUUGUUCGGAAUCAUUGGGCGUAAAGGGCUCGUAGGCGGCCAACUAAGUCGGAUGUGAAAUCCCCAGGCUUAACCUGGGAACUGCAUCCGAUACUGGAUGGCUUGAAUCCGGGAGAGGGAUGCAGAAUUCCUGGUGUAGCGGUGAAAUGCGCAGAUAUCAGGAGGAACACCGGUGGCGAAGGCGGGUCUCUGGGCCGAUACUGACGCUGAGGAGCGAAAGCGUGGGGAGCGAACAGG